rnacentral:tRNA from 1 species
CGGAGUGUAGGCCAGCGGAAAGCCAUCAGUUUUGGGUACUGAAUACCGUGUGUUCGACUCACACCACUCCGACCA